GCCCCACCACGUGCUGCCAUCUGGUUUCAGUAGUUUGAUCACGGGUUUGAUUGAUGAAGUCGACAAUUCUUUUGUUGAUCGCUGUGUUAGAAGUUCUAUUGAUGUGUAAGUGUUUUGGGAUUAAUUUUGGACAAGAACACAAUGCAAUAUUACAGUUAUAGAAAUGGACUUUAUUGGCUGCUUUCGAACGGACUCUUGAAAUGUUAUUGAAAGAAGAUACUAGAUUGUACAUGGCCGAAAUCCCUCCUGAAACACUUUGUGGAAAUAUUUAUGUAAUUGUUAAUUAAUUAAAGACAUUAAUGUGAUAUUAUUGAGCAAAGAACUUGACCCUUAACCUGCAAAGCCAA